UACGUAGGGUGCAAGCGUUGUCCGGAAUUAUUGGGCGUAAAGAGCUCGUAGGCGGUCUGUCGCGUCGGAUGUGAAAAUCCAGGGCUCAACCCUGGACCUGCAUUCGAUACGGGCAGACUAGAGUUCGGUAGGGGAGACUGGAAUUCCUGGUGUAGCGGUGAAAUGCGUAGAUAUCUGGAGGAACACCGGUGGCGAAGGCGGCAUCCUGGACCAAUACUGACACUGAGGAGCGAAAGCCAGGGGAGCAAACGGG
rnacentral:rRNA from 1 species